GACAUAGGGUGCAAACGUUGUUCGGAAUUACUGGGCGUAAAGCGUGUGUAGGCGGCUGCGCAAGUCGGAUGUGAAAGCCCCGGGCUCAACCCGGGAAGGGCACCCGAUACUGCGUAGCUUGAGUACCGGAGAGGUUGGUGGAAUUCUCGGUGUAGAGGUGAAAUUCGUAGAUAUCGGGAGGAACACCGGUGGCGAAGGCGGCGAUCUGGGUCGAUACUGACGCUGAGGUGCGAAAGCGUGGGGAGCAAACAGG
rnacentral:rRNA from 1 species